ensembl:snRNA Gm23958 predicted gene, 23958
AUGCUCACUUCGCAGAACUUACACUAAAAUUAAAAUGAUAAAGAGAAAAAUAACAUGGCGCCGGGAAAGGAAGACAUGCAAAUUCAUGAAACAUUCUAUAUAUUUU